AUACUUUUCUGGUUCAUAAGUAUAAUGAUUAGGUGUUUACACAUUUGUGUGACAUGUGCCUCUCUUAAGCCUUGUUACAUACUUGGCACAUUACCCAUCUGACG